AGAGUUUGAUCAUGGCUCAGGAUGAACGCUGGCGGCGUGCUUAACACAUGCAAGUCGAACGAAGAGGAUAAGAAAGAGCGCUUCGGCAGGAUUUUUUAUCAUCUUAGUGGCGGACGGGUGAGUAACGUGUGGGCAACCUGCCCUGUACUGUGGAAUAAUCAUUGGAAACGAUGACUAAUACCGCAUGUGGUCCUCGGAAGGCAUCUUCUGAGGAAGAAAGGAUUUAUUCGGUACGGGAUGGGCCCGCAUCUGAUUAGCUAGUUGGUGAGAUAACAGCCCACCAAGGCGACGAUCAGUAGCCGACCUGAGAGGGUGAUCGGCCACAUUGGGACUGAGACACGGCCCAAACUCCUACGGGAGGCAGCAGUGGGGAAUAUUGCACAAUGGGCGAAAGCCUGAUGCAGCAACGCCGCGUGAAGGAUGAAGGGUUUCGGCUCGUAAACUUCUAUCAAUAGGGAAGAAAGAAAUGACGGUACCUAAAUAAGAAGCCCCGG
rnacentral:rRNA from 1 species